UACGGGGGGGGCAAGCGUUGUUCGGAAUUACUGGGCGUAAAGGGCUCGUAGGCGGCCAACUAAGUCGGAUGUGAAAUCCCCAGGCUCAACUUGGGAACUGCAUCCGAUACUGGAUGGCUUGAAUUCGGGAGAGGGAUGCAGAAUUCCAGGUGUAGCGGUGAAAUGCGUAGAUAUCUGGAGGAAUACCGGUGGCGAAGGCGGCAUCCUGGACCGACAUUGACGCUGAGGAGCAAAAGCUAGGGGAGCAAACGGG
rnacentral:rRNA from 1 species